rnacentral:lncRNA from 1 species
GGGGCAAAGUCGUACAAUUGAAAAUUGAGUACUUCAUUUUGUAAUUGUUUGGGUGUAAAAAUGUUGACAAGAAACAUAUUUUACCGCGCUUCAUUUCUUAAAAUGUUCUUUCUAUCAACUCGUUACCUGGAGUCUGUUUAGGGCCAUAACGUAUUUUGAGGUAUGUAGGCAAUUACUUCUCUAAUGCGGACCAACAAAAAUAAU